GCUCCUGUGGCCUUGUGGUUAGAGCGUUUGCAUCGGAUGCAGAAGGUCGCGAGUUCGAACCCCGGCCGAAUCA